rnacentral:rRNA from 1 species
CCUACGGGUGGCAGCAGUGAGGAAUAUUGGUCAAUGGCCGGAAGGCUGAACCAGCCAAGCCGCGUGAGGGAAGAAGGCCCUCAGGGUCGUAAACCUCUUUUGCCGGGGGGCAAAAUGCCGGACUCGACCUGUCGUGAGGGUACCCGGAGAAAAAGCAUCGGCUAACUCCGUGCCAGCAGCCGCGGUAAUACGGAGGAUGCGAGCGUUAUCCGGAUUGAUUGGGUUUAAAGGGUGCGCAGGCGGAGGCUCAAGCCAGCGGUAAAAUCGCGGGGUGCAACCCCGCAGCGCCGUGGAAACUGGGGCCCUUGAGUGCGGGAAGGGCAUGCGGAAUGCGUGGUGUAGCGGUGAAAUGCAUAGAUAUCACGCAGAACCCCGAUUGCGAAGGCAGCAUGCCGGCGCGCUACUGACGCUGAGGCACGAAAGCGCGGGUAUCGAACAGGAUUAGAUACCCUGGUAGUC